rnacentral:rRNA from 1 species
UGCAGUCGAACGGCAGCACAGGAGAGCUUGCUCUCUGGGUGGCGAGUGGCGGACGGGUGAGGAAUACAUCGGAAUCUACUCUGUCGUGGGGGAUAACGUAGGGAAACUUACGCUAAUACCGCAUACGACCUACGGGUGAAAGCAGGGGAUCUUCGGACCUUGCGCGAUUGAAUGAGCCGAUGUCGGAUUAGCUAGUUGGCGGGGUAAAGGCCCACCAAGGCGACGAUCCGUAGCUGGUCUGAGAGGAUGAUCAGCCACACUGGAACUGAGACACGGUCCAGACUCCUACGGGAGGCAGCAGUGGGGAAUAUUGGACAAUGGGCGCAAGCCUGAUCCAGCCAUACCGCGUGGGUGAAGAAGGCCUUCGGGUUGUAAAGCCCUUUUGUUGGGAAAGAAAUCCAGCCGGCUAAUACCUGGUUGGGAUGACGGUACCCAAAGAAU